UACAGAGGUCCCAAGCGUUGUUCGGAUUCACUGGGCGUAAAGGGUGCGUAGGUGGUGAGGUAAGUCGGAUGUGAAAUCUCCAGGUUCAACCUGGAAACUGCAUUGGAAACUGCCUUGCUUGAGGAUUUGAGGGGGGAUUGGAAUACUUGGUGUAGCAGUGAAAUGCGUAGAUAUCAAGUGGAACACCAGUGGCGAAGGCGAAUCCCUGGAAAAUACCUGACACUGAGGCACGAAAGCUAGGGGAGCAAACAGG
rnacentral:rRNA from 1 species